GGCCAAGAACCUCCUGGAGCGGUCCGUCCCGGCUGACUGCUCCUCCCAGCAGAUGUCCGGACCAUUCACAGCAAUGUGGAGCUUAUUCGUACCCUCAGGAGCAGAAGUUUCUCCAAUUCAAGGCCUCACUCCCUUGUCUUGCUGUGCAGCAAGGACCCUGCCCGUUUGAAGGAACCGCUGGGCCGGAAGCAGUGGAGUCCCUUUUCUGAGCGCAGUGGAGUAGCAGGGGUGAAGGAGGUGCAGCCGGUGGCAGGUCCUACCUCCCCUCUGGAAGGGUGAGGAAAGUAUGAAGACAUCCUCUGGGUGAAAUGCAGCACAAUGUAAUCUCCCGUUGGGAAUACUGAGGCCUUCCUGCUCAGGCGAUAGCUGUUUGGCUCAAGGAUGGUCCUGGGGAUGCCUCUCCAGCUGUGCAGCUGCCUGCGGGACCCCUGCAACCCCCAAUAUACUGGUCCCAGGCAGGGAGAGUCCAGCCCUAGGUGGGAGGAGUGCAGAGAGGGAGACUUUCCCCCUAACUGGGAGCCCCUCAGCUGCUCCAGUGCAUAGAAACAAGGGGAGCAUGUUCAGACAGAAGUAUCUGGGCUGCACCCUGAUACAUCUGAACGUGCACCCUGCAGGUCUCCCACUGAGAGAGGUGCCCAGGGCUGCCCCCAGCCCAGGCAGGAAGCAGUGGCAGCAUGAGCCGAGACCCCAGCCCCAGGUCCUGGUCGGGCAGAGAUCAGACAGCAGCCCACCAAGCACAGCCUUUGCACUGGAGGCAGCUGCAGGACUGGGACCAGAGCAGGACACGAGACCUCCGAGCGGGCCCUGGCCAUGAGCAGAGGCAGCAGUGGGGAGCAAAGCCUUUGCCGGAGGGGCUGGAACAGGGCAGGGGGAGGCUGCUCAAGGGGCUGGUGUUGCCACCACCCAUGGGGAAGUGAAUGCCCCGUAUGGUGCCAUCACUGGUGGCUCUGGCAUCACUGCUACCGAGGGCGUGUUACUGUUGAGCCACCCUGCCCGAGACUUCAGACUGCUUAUGGGCAGGAAAUGCCAGUGACCCAUAUCCAGUGUGCUGAAUUUUGCCAAAGCCUUUUAAGUUUGAAUUUCCGCUGAAUAUUUUCUGACAGAAAUGUGAAAAGGGAAAACUGGUAGUAAAAAAAAUGGUUUCAAAUUUAAAAAAAGACAAAAACAAAUGGCUUUUUGGUUUAAAACCAAAGAUUCCAACAUGAGCAAACACACUGUUUCAGUGAAGAGCUAAAAUUAAAAAAACAUACCCUCCAAGUGAAUAAA